ensembl:lncRNA
CUGUGUCAGGCCCCGGGGGGACGGAGCCGCAGCAAAGACCCCCGAGCUUGGAGCUUCAGAGGGGCCCUCCCCUCUCUGCCGGCAUGAAUGUAAACAAAGGAAGAGGGCCCGCGUGAGCGCUUCUGCAGCAAGUCCUGGUGCUGAUCAGGCCGGGGCAAAUCCAAUUAGCCGCCGGCCUCCCCCCCGAACCUUAUUAACCUGCUCAGCUGGGAGAAGCUCCCGGCCGCCAAUAUCUCAUUUCCCCCGCGGCUGAUACCAUCAGCGGCGGGCCGGCCACGGGUGUGCGCACGCCCCGCUCCCAGCCACGGGCCCCGCGGCCGCCGUGGCCGCGUCUCAUUUCCCCGACAUGAAAUAGGCCGGCUGCUGCAAGGCCUCGAGAGCAGGCCGGAACAAACACGGCCUGAUCCCCCUUAUCACGGCCGCCCCACAAAGGGGGCCAGGCCGCGUGAUUAGCAUUCCUCCGCGGCGCGGCGGCGGGCCCAUUUCUGUCACACAGACAGAUUGAGCCUUUCACUCAGCCACGCGAGUGAGUGACACAUGGCCCGACCCGGAGGACAACAUUGUUAUUUGAGUUAAGAAAUCAAUUUGUAUCAAAUGUACGCUGUAAUUUAUUUGUUGGCUUUGAAGGGAAGGGAGCCGAGAUAAAUGGGCCCGGGCUCUUUCUUUCCCCCUCUGCCACACUGAUAAAGUCCUUGUGAGGCCCAGAUGGCUGAAGUCACAGGCACAGUGACAAGCGUGUUUAAAGGUGCACACUGAUCUCUAAAUCUCAAAAAGAACACCUUGUCGGACAUGAUAGAACAUUUUUUACCUUUUCCCUCUAUCUGUCAGAAAGCCGCUGUGACACAUUGCUUUAGUAUUUUUGCUGACAUUUUCUUUAUCAAGCACAUCUGUUUGUGGUCCAAAGAUGCUCAUUCCUAUUUCUUCCAUCUGCAGCGGGCGGAGGAGCCGCCGGGAGGCGGGGAGGGAAGCGGCGCCACGGCCCCGCGGUGCGCUGGCUCCUGAGGCCCCGGGUCCCCUCGGCCGGGCCGGCCUUGUGCCGCUGGGCAUGCUGGGCCCGUCCCCUUCCUCCUCCUCCUCCUCCUCCUCCUCCUCCUCCUCCUCCUCGUGCUACAUGUCGUCCUCCGCGUCUUCGGCCCAUCUCCGGGAGCCGGCGCCGCUCCUGGCACUCUUGUUUAUUUGGAGCAAACUCUAAGCAUGGCUGCAGCGAGCUCUGAGCCGCGAUGGCGAGUCGCAGAAGGGCAGCUCCGGGGUGAUCGGAGACCACCGAACGCGAGGAAUCUGAUCACAGAGGGAGACUUCAGCAGCAGGACAGAAGAGCGAGCGCCACCGUCUCUGUCACCGUAACUGCGUCUCGACCUUCCUGGAUAGCAGAUGGCACAAGAUGACACUUGCUAACCAAACUAUUGACUGGCAGCACCAGCAUGGCCACUUGACAGUAGAUGAACAACACGGGUACGUGCCGAAGGUGAACGUGCGUCUUUGGGUCUUAGCCAUCGCUUCUACGUAAGCAUGGAAGUUAUAGGACGUCUUAGUGGUCUACUACAUGGUAAUGGCAUAGUGAAUUAGAUGCAGCCGAUGAAAUGCUUCCUUGAAACGCGAGAUGUGCUGCUGAGUUCACGGCUCCAGCACGUUUGUCAAACUCCGAACUAAAAUAAUUCAGUUAAAAAUUCAAGCUUUGGGGCCGGCGCUGUUGCUUAGGGAGUUAAGCUGCUGCCUGUGACUCCAGCAUCCAUAUGGCUGCUCCACCUCCGACCCAGCUCCCUGCUAACGCACCUGGGAAAGCAGCAGAAGUCGGCCCAAGUGCUUCGGCCCCUGCACCCAUGUGGGAGACCCAGCUGAAAUUCCUGGCUCCUGGCCUCAGCCUGGCCCAACCCUGACCAUUACAGCCUUUUAGGGAGUGAACCAGUGGAUGGAAGACCUCUCUCUCUCCCCAUCCCCACCCAUAACCAUGCCUUUCAAAUACAAAUAAACACAACCUUUAAAAAAUGCA